rnacentral:rRNA from 1 species
UACAGAGGUCUCAAGCGUUGUUCGGAUUCAUUGGGCGUAAAGGGUGCGUAGGCGGUGCGGUAAGUCGGGUGUGAAAUCUCGGAGCUUAACUCCGAAACUGCAUUCGAUACUGCCGUGCUUGAGGACUGGAGAGGAGACUGGAAUUUACGGUGUAGCGGUGAAAUGCGUAGAGAUCAUGAGGAAGACCAGUGGCGAAGGCGGGUCUCUGGACAGUUCCUGACGCUGAGGCACGAAGGUCAGGGGGAGCAAACGGG